GGGCUUGACAUCCCACGAACCUGCCUGAAAGGGCGGGGUGCCCGCAAGGGAGCGUGGAGACAGGUGGUGCAUGGCUGUCGUCAGCUCGUGUCGUGAGAUGUUGGGUUAAGUCCCGCAACGAGCGCAACCCUCACCCCUAGUUGCCACCGGGUAAUGCCGAGCACUCGAGGGGAACUGCCAGCGUCAAGCUGGAGGAAGGCGGGGAUGACGUCAAGUCAUCAUGCCCCUUACGCCCUGGGCUACACACGUGCUACAAUGGCCGGUACAAAGGGACGCAAGACCGCGAGGUGGAGCUAAUCCCAAAAAGCUGGUCUAAGUUCAGAUUGCAGUCUGCAACUCGACUGCAUGAAGGAGGAAUCGCUAGUAAUCGCGCAUCAGCCCGGCGCGGUGAAUACGUUCCCGGGCCUUGUACACACCGCCCGUCACACCACGAAAGCUGUCUGUACUCGAAGUCGCUGAG
rnacentral:rRNA from 2 species